rnacentral:rRNA from 1 species
GACGAACGCUGGCGGCGUGCUUAACACAUGCCAGUCGAACGAUGACGACCGAGCUUGCUCGGUCUGAUUAGUGGCGAACGGGUGAGUAGCACGUGAGCAACCUGCCCUUCACUCUGGGAUAACCUCGGGAAAUCGGGGCUAAUACCGGAUAUGAGCUCCUGUCGCAUGGCGGGUGUUGGAAAGUUUUUCGGUGAAGGAUGGGCUCGCGGCCUAUCAGUUUGUUGGUGAGGUAGUGGCUCACCAAGGCGAUGACGGGUAGCCGGCCUGAGAGGGCGACCGGCCACACUGGGACUGAGACACGGCCCAGACUCCUACGGGAGGCAGCAGUGGGGAAUAUUGCACAAUGGGCGAAAGCCUGAUGCAGCGACGCCGCGUGAGGGAUGACGGCCUUCGGGUUGUAAACCUCUUUCAGCAGGGAAGAAGCGAAAGUGACGGUACCUGCAGAAGAAGCGCCGGCUAACUACGUG